ensembl:lncRNA
AAAAGCUCAUAUAAUGUAAAUAAUUACAGGAACUGACUUGUUUCGUGGACGUUCAACAACAUUAAAUGUAACUCAAAAAAAAAAAAAAAAAAUUAUAUAUAUAUAUAUAUAUAUAUAUCGUUAAUAAAUUAAACAUUGCAAUCAGUGGGAAAUUGCUGUGGUAUAAAAGAAAUAGAACACGUUGGGGCAUGCUAUUAUUGGAAAAUAAUCAGCUUUGGAGUGGUAAUCACAUCACCCUUUUGUGAUUAUUUUCCUAAAACAGCAUGUAACAGUGUUUAAUUCCUUAUUUAACGUUUUAAAGUACAAAAAUGUAUAAACUGGUCUACAAAUCAAACCACAUACAUUUUAGAAUUAGUCGCAUUCUGGAUAUUUAUUCUACACAGGGUCGCAGGGGAGCCUGGAGACUAUCCCAGGGAUCUCUGGGCACUCCCUUGACGGGGUGCCAACCCAUCACAGGGCAGAAUCACACACACACACACACACACACACACACACACACACACACACACACACACACAAACACACACAAUUUGGAAAUGCAUUCCAUUGGACUGGAGAAGGGAACCAUGGACUGGGGGAGUCCAGUCCAUUUGACUGGAGGAGGGAACCAUGGACUGGGGGAGUCCAGUCCACUGCACUGGGGGAUGGAACCAUAGACUACGGGAGUCCAGUCCAUUGGACUGGAGAAGGGAACCAUGGACUGGGGGAGUCCAGUCCAUUGGACUGGAGAAGGGAAUCAUGGACUGGGGGAGUCCAGUCCAUUGGACUGGAGAAGGGAACCAUGGACUGGGGGAGUCCAGUCCAUUGGACUGGAGAAGGGAACCAUGGACUGGGGGAGUCCAGUCCAUUUGACUGGGCGAAGAAACCGGAGUACCCAGAGAAAACCCCUGAGCAAACUCCGAGCACACAGGGCGGAGGUGGGAUUUGAACAUCAACCCUUGAGGUGCAAGGCAAACUUGCUAACCUCUAAGCCACCAUGCCUAAAGUCCCCUAGCAUAGUAUAUUUAAAAUAUACAAUAUAACCUUCCUAAAUUUGUGUUGGUCCAAAUCUUGAGGACAAAGAUGGCUAAUUAUGACAAGCCUCCCUGCCUAACAAAGACCCUUUCUGACCUAGACUGUGGGAAAUGUCUACAAUUCGAAAUUUUAGUACAAUUUCCAAAAUAGCACAUUCACUUUUCCAGUGCAGCAUUAUGCUUAUUAAUUCGUUCUGCCUCCUCUCUUUUCUCCUCCAACCAGCGUUCCAGCAGCUCCUCUUUCUCCUGACGUACAAGUGCCAGCUCCUCCCUCAGUGACCUCUGCUCUGAUUGCAACGUGGCCAACUGCUUUGACUGACACUCCAAUUUAUACUCGUACUCGGACAGAUCGUUUUUGAGACAGCACGCUCCUCUGGCCAAAAGAACAGCUUCAGUGCGGUAGCGGCUUACUCUAUAACACAAAGAUACAAUGUUUAACGUACAUAAAAUCACCAGAAUGCAUCAUUUCAGAAGCUGUAUCGGGAAGCUCACUUACUGUGAGUGACAGUACUGCAGCUCUGCUUCCUUCAGGUAAAGGUCGCUGGUUAGGUCUGAGACUUUCUGGGCAAGCUGGAGAAGAAAUAUCAUUUACUUCCAGCUGAAAUUCCCUGCAGUAUACAAAGCCAACAACAACAACAACAACAACAACAACAAUCUCAUUCCUUUCUAAAUGUUUUCCCCUUGCUUACCCUACCAACCCACUGCACUGUCAGAUCCUCCUCUAUAGACUUGUUUAUUAUCUUUCAGUCCAAACUCCAUAGCACUGAAUGCCAGCAUAGCAUUUUCCACAACUUAAAAUAUUCCUAACCCGUAACCAUUGUCUCCUCUCCUGCAAAAAUGUUUGUCUCCCUAUUUAAGUUCAUGUCUAUAAUGUGUGUAUAUGUCCAUACUGAUCUGUGUACGUUAUACAGUCAAAUGGGUAAAAAAAAAAGUACACCCCAUGGAAAUUGGGUGACACAGAUCAGCCACAUGGAAAAAAGUAAGUACACCCCUACAUUUAUCACACCUUCAAAUCCAUAAAAUUAGAAUCAGAUGUUCAAGAUCGGGUGCCAGUAAUUAGGACCUGCUUAGGGAGUGCAGGUGGAACCGGUCUUAUUUAUACCCCUCUCAACACUAGUGUCUGGGGUUCCCUUUGUUAUUGAGGUAUGUGCUGUCAUCAUGCCAAAGAGUUGUGUAAGGCCUUCAGAAAAAAGGUUGUGGGUGCCUAUGAAUCUGGCAAGGGAUUUAAAAAGAUCUCCAAAUUAUUUGAAAUACACCAGUCCACUGUAAGGAAAAUCAUCUACAAAUUUGUCCAGGACUGGACUUCCCAGCAAAUUCAGCCCAAGAGCAGUUGGGUCGUUUGCUCACAGUAACAGCAGACCAAAGACACCUUUUCAGGAGAAGCACAGCAUACCAUCUGUGAAGCAUGGUGGUGGAAACGUUAUGAUUUUGGGUUUCUUCACUUCCUCAGUGACUGGACAGUCACUUGCAUACAUUGAUUCAGCUGUGAAUUCUGAAUCACAUCAGAUAAUGCUUGAAGAUAAUGUGAGGCCAUCUGUCCAAAAGUUGCAACUGAACCAAAAGUGGACCUUCCAACAGAAUAACAAUCCUAAGCACACUAGCAAAUACACCAAGGAAUGGCUCAAAAAGAAGAAAUAGUGUGUUAUGGAAUGCCCUAGUCAAAGCCCAGAUUUGAAGCCCAUUGAAAUGUUGCGGGGGGAUUUGAAACGUGCAGUACAUGCUGCACUCAAACAUCUUGCAACUGAA